CGUCCUGCUAGUUGUCUUUAGUUGGCACUUGUCACUUUAACACAGUGGAGUACAGAAAGUCUGUGGUUAACUUUAACAUGGAACACAUGGAAUACCAUAAAAUAAUACCAAGAAAUGAGGAAAGAGGCAUUACAGAAGAAGACGAAACUGUUUUCAACAUUAGAAGGAGGAAUAGUUCAACAAAAAUGGACAUGCAAAGGAAAAGAAUUAAAGCUUUAAAGAAGCGAGUUAGAGUAACAGCGCACAGAAGCCUUAAUAAAGGGAUUAUAAAAAGUAGAAAACAUCAAACAAAGAGACUGAAAGGUAAA